UACGGAGGGCGCGAGCGUUGUCCGGAAUCACUGGGCGUAAAGGGCGCGUAGGCGGCGCGGGCAGCGUGCGGUGAAAGCCCGGGGCUCAACCCCGGGUCGGCCGUGCGAACUCCCGCGCUGGAGCACUGUAGGGGCGGGCGGAAUUCCGGGUGUAGCGGUGGAAUGCGUAGAGAUCCGGAAGAACACCGGUGGCGAAGGCGGCCCGCUGGGCAGUGGCUGACGCUGAGGCGCGACAGCGUGGGGAGCAAACAGG
rnacentral:rRNA from 1 species